rnacentral:lncRNA from 1 species
AUGUUGGUGAUACCUAACUCAGACUUUUAGAAUUAAGAUGAACACUUGUCCAUCUGACACUGAGAUGACAUUGUAAACCAGCUAUGCUUUGAUUUUUUAAAAAGGAUACAUUUUCCUGGUUAUCCUUUUACUGUGAGCUAGUCAAUGGAAAUGUCCCUCAAAAUCUAGAUUCCUGGAAUAACAAAAAGGUAUGUCUUUUAAACAUUAAUCUGGAGACUAUCCAGAACCGCCAGUCAUGAAAUGUAA